rnacentral:rRNA from 1 species
ACAGCAGUCGCCGCGGUAAUACGGAGGGCGCGAGCGUUACCCGGAUUUACUGGGCGUAAAGGGCGUGUAGGCGGCCUGGGGCGUCCCAUGUGAAAGGCCACGGCUCAACCGUGGAGGAGCGUGGGAUACGCUCAGGCUAAAGGGUGGGAGAGGGUGGUGGAAUUCCCGGAGUAGCGGUGAAAUGCGCAGAUACCGGGAGGAACGCCGAUGGCGAAGGCAGCCACCUGGUCCACUUCUGACGCUGGGGCGCGAAAGCGUGGGGAGCAAACCGGAUUAGAGACCCCUGUAGUCCCUGUCUCUUAUAC